CGAGUCCUGCGAUGUACGUGUUAACCUGAAUGUUUUGAGCCAACACCUUUAAUAAGGGAGCUUGGAGUCACUUGCUGGAUUGGCAGCCGCUCCAUGUUGAGGCGGAACCGUGAAGGCAAGUGCAGAGCACCCACCUGCGAGAGAGCAGGUUCAAAACUUUGGGAGUCACGGCAUAACGGGACUCUU
rnacentral:other from 1 species